rnacentral:rRNA from 1 species
AUUGAACGCUGGCGGCAUGCCUUACACAUGCAAGUCGAACGGUAACAGGUCUUCGGAUGCUGACGAGUGGCGAACGGGUGAGUAAUACAUCGGAGCGUGCCCGAUCGUGGGGGAUAACGGAGCGAAAGCUUUGCUAAUACCUCAUGCUGUCUACGGCUGAGAGCAGGUGACCGCAAGGCCGUUCACGGAGGGAGCGGCGGAUGGAAGAUUAGGUAGUUGGUGGGAUAAAAGCUUACCAAGCCGACGAUCUGUAGCUGGUCUGAGAGGACGACCAGGCACACUGGUACUGAGACACGGCCCAGACUCCUACGGGAGGCAGCAGUGGGGAAUUUUGGACAAUGGGCGAAAGCCUGAUCCAGCCAUGCCGCGUGCAGGAUGAAGGCCUUCGGGUUGUAAACUGCUUUUGUACGGAACGAAAAGACUCCUUCUAAUAAAGGGGGUCCAUGACGGUACCGUAAGAAUAAGCACCGGCUAACUACGUGCCAGCCGCCGCGGUAAGAC